rnacentral:rRNA from 1 species
UACGUAGGGGGCUAGCGUUGUCCGGAUUUAUUGGGCGUAAAGAGCGUGUAGGCGGCCAGGUAGGUCUGCUGUGAAAACUGGAGGCUCAACCUCCAGACGUCGACGGAAACCGUGUGGCUAGAGUCCGGAAGAGGAGAGUGGAAUUCCUGGUGUAGCGGUGAAAUGCGCAGAUAUCAGGAGGAACACCGGCGGUGUAGACGGCUUACUGGACCAUAACUGACGCUGAGGCACGAAAGCGUGGGUAGCAAACAGG